GUGAAAUUGUUGAAAGGGAAACGAUUGAAGUCAGUCGUGCUGGCGCGAAAUCAGCUUGACCGGCAGGAAAGCACAGGCUGUGGCGAGCCUCAAAACCGCCACAACUUGUGCUUUCUUACCGGCCUCGUGCACUUUCGCGUGGGCUGGUUAACAUCAAUUUCGAUCGUCAUAAAAAGGCUGGAGGGAUGUGGCUCCUCCGGGAGUGUUAUAACCUUUAGCGGAAUGUGGUGGUCGGGAUUGAGGUUUGCAACGAAUACCUUCAGGGCUGUUCCACCUGGCUUCUCAUCGGCAUCCUGGCGGCGACAGCUUGCUGACGUUGUUAGGAUCAGCCUUCGAACAGGCUAGAGUGUGAGCAAAUUCGUUAAGGAUGUUGACGUAAUGGCUUUAAACGAC
rnacentral:rRNA from 1 species